ensembl:lncRNA
AAAAAAAAUAAAGUACUGAAGUUCUAACAAAGGCACACAAUUAUAAAAUAACUAGAAAGAAAAGAGAUGAUGAUGUGGAAAAUAGACACACGUCAGUGGUUCUAAAAGAAAGAAGAAAUAAAGAACCAAAUUUUUCAUGGGGUUUUAGUGUAUCCAACUAAAUACUCACUUUACCAGCCUCUGUCACUACUAAGUGGCUUUGUGAUCCAGUUCUCAUCUGAUAAUGAGAUGUAUAAAUGUGAUGGACCAGCAGUAGCCAUCUUGGAAACAUAAAGCAAGGAGCCAACAUGCUAAGAGAGAAUCCUCAACAAUACUACUUCCUCUACAGCCCGGAUGUAACCGCAACUGUCUUUAGCGUAAUAUACCCAGGCAUUAUGGGACUUUUCCCUGGGCCUCCAGAGAACGGAGGACUGGAACUCGGCCCCACCAGAAAUCAGACCAGACCAGAACCAGAAUUCGAGUUCUCUGCCAAGAGGAGGUGACCAGUCUCCAAUCCUCAGCUCAGGCUGAGGGCCCUUUGACCAGAUUCCUGCAUCCAGGACAGGGGGACUAGAAAAACAGGUCUGGCACAAAGAAGGUCCUUAAUAAUCAUUCAUUAAAGUUUUAUUUUGAAUCUCACUUCCAUUCUUUUUCUUUAACACCCUCUGCAGGAGGUAAUAAUGAAGACUAAAAUGUCAAGUAGGCAAUAAGAGGAGGCAAUGUAGGAACAGAGAAAAUCCACAAACCUGAUCAUUGGUUCUUGGAUUACUGACCAUUAACC